GGAGGAUCAUUAUCGUAGGGCUUCGGCCCUGUCGAGAUAGAACCCUUGCCUUUUUGAGUACCUUUCGUUUCCUCGGCAGGCUCGCCUGCCAAUGGGGACCACAAAAAACACUUUGCAGUACCUGUAACAGUCUGAACAAACAAAACAAAAAUUAAAACUUUCAACAACGGAUCUCUUGGUUCUGGCAUCGAUGAAGAACGCAGCGAAAUGCGAUAAGUAGUGUGAAUUGCAGAAUUCAGUGAAUCAUCGAAUCUUUGAACGCACAUUGCGCCCUUUGGUAUUCCUUAGGGCAUGCCUGUUCGAGCGUCAUUUAAACCUUCAAGCUAAGCUUGGUGUUGGGUGACUGUCCGCUUCACGGCGGACUCGCCUCAAAAUUAUUGGCGGCCGGUACAUUGGCUUCGAGCGCAGCAGAAACGCGAACUCGGGCCCGUCGUAUUGGCUCCCAGAAGCUAUCUUCACAAUUUUGACCUCGGAUCAGGUAGGGAUACCCGCUGAACUUAAGCAUAUCAAUAAGCGGAGGA
rnacentral:rRNA from 1 species